UGGGAGGCGCCGGAGCUGGAAGCUGUGGGAAAGAAGAGAAAAAUAAAUCAAACCCGCGGGGAAGAAGAGUUGUGGCUGGUUCUCCGUGGGGAAAGGAGAGUGGUGCUGUUGGUGGGUCUGUGUUGAUGACCGGGUUGUGGAGAAGGAAGGAAAAUGAAGGGGAAAAUGGAGAUGACGGUGGGGAAAUGGUCUGUCUUGGCUUCAAUGGUGGCGGCUUCUUCGUGGGCUGAGUUUAGCUGGCCAGAAGAAGGAGAACCAUGGGGAGCUCCAGUGAAGAAGAAGAAGAGAAA
rnacentral:lncRNA from 1 species